UGAAGGCUACCAGCUCCAACGAUUUGACAAACUCAAUUAAUGGCUGCUGUUGUUGCUUCUUCUACUGAGAUUUGGUCUUGUGUCUAAUCAAGGCUGUAGAGCUGGUGUGUGAUGAAGCUAACUCUCUGCGGCGUGAAGCCUGAGAGGUCCUCUCUUUGAUUUUAUCUUCUUCUCCAAGCUGUCAAAGGAUCUAUUGCUGCUCCUCCUUCAAACCAGGAGUAUUUAGCUCAAAAUGGUAGAGCACCUAGGGUAAUGCCCAGGUUAUGGUGGUUCGAAUACACCAAGACUCUGAACAAAAUACCAAAAGGGUUUUAACUUAUUAUAUCUUGUUCUUGACAUUUAGUGAUUCUUGGAUUUUUGGGAUUAAUUUUUUAUUCGUUUGGUCACCUUGGUUUUUCUCAGUUUUUCAUUAUAUAUGUGGAACAGAUUAUAGCUG